GCAUUGGUAGUUCAGUGGUAGAAUUCUUGCCUUCUGUGCUGGAGACCUGGGUUCGAUUCCCAGCCAAUACA
rnacentral:tRNA from 2 species